rnacentral:rRNA from 1 species
GUGGGGAAUAUUGGACAAUGGGCGAAAGCCUGAUCCAGCCAUGCCGCGUGUGUGAAGAAGGUCUUCGGAUUGUAAAGCACUUUAAGUUGGGAGGAGGGGUAGUAAGUUAAUACCUUGCUGUUUUGACGUUACCGACAGAAUAAGCACCGGCUAACUUCGUGCCAGCAGCCGCGGUAAUACGAAGGGUGCAAGCGUUAAUCGGAAUUACUGGGCGUAAAGCGCGCGUAGGUGGUUUUGUAAGUUGGAGGUGAAAUCCCCGGGCUCAACCUGGGAACUGCCUCAAAAACUGCAUGACUAGAGUACGGUAGAUGGUAGUGGAAUUUCCUGUGUAGCGGUGAAAUGCGUAGAUAUAGGAAGGAACACCAGUGGCGAAGGCGACUACCUGGACUGAUACUGACACUGAGGUGCGAAAGCGUGGGGAGCAAACAGGAUUAGAAACCCCUGUAGUCC